UACGUAGGGUGCAAGCGUUGUCCGGAAUUAUUGGGCGUAAAGAGCUCGUAGGCGGUUUGUUGCGUCGGCUGUGAAAUCCCGAGGCUCAAACCUCGGGUCUGCAGUCGAUACGAGCAAACUAGAGUGUUGCAGGGGAGACUGGAAUUCCUGGUGUAGCGGUGAAGUGCGCAGAUAUCAGGAGGAACACCGAUGGCGAAGGCAGAUCUCUGGGCCGUAACUGACGCUGAGGAGCGAAAGCGUGGGGAGCGAACAGG
rnacentral:rRNA from 1 species